UACGUAGGUGGCGAGCGUUAUCCGGAAUGAUUGGGCGUAAAGGGUGCGUAGGCGGCCUGCUAAGUCUGGAGUGAAAGGUACCGGCUCAACCGGUACAGGCUCUGGAAACUGGCGGGCUAGAGUGCAGGAGAGGUAAGCGGAAUUCCUAGUGUAGCGGUGAAAUGCGUAGAUAUUAGGAGGAACACCAGUGGCGAAGGCGGCUUACUGGACUGUAACUGACGUUGAGGCUCGAAAGCGUGGGGAGCAAACAGG
rnacentral:rRNA from 1 species